rnacentral:rRNA from 1 species
GUCGUAACAAGGUUUCCGUAGGUGAACCUGCGGAAGGAUCAUUCGCAUGCAUCCAAAAAAUCACUUUGAAUGUACAUGUGUGAGUCUCUUCUUGAAGAUGAAUUAAGUUUCGGUGCUUCUUGGGGAGACUCCAGGGCAGUUAGGGUUGGGUAGAUGGCAUAUUGCAUAUGUUGCAUCUGCUCUGCUCUUCUGUCAUGAACUCUCUACUUCUAUCUCUUUCAGUGCAUUGCGGGAUUCGUCCCCUGUCUACCUUUCUUACAACCUUCAGUGAUGAAUGUCUUGGCUUGAACACUGAUGAAGGGCGCAGCGAAGUGUGAUAAGCAUUGUGAAUUGCAGAAUUCCGUGAAUCAAUAGAAUCUUGAAUGUAUUCUGUGCUUUCGGGACAUUCCUGAGGGCCUGUCUGCUUCAGAGUCUUCUCCCUUUAUUGCCAAAGACAUAUUUGGUAGUUCUGCUGCCAGUGUCUCUGUGUGUCGCUGUGUGUCUAGGAUCACCUUCUUGGUGUGUCCUUGGCACACACAGUGCGCUUGCUCUUGGGCUUGUGAUGCACAACAUAUGCACUGAACGCACUCGUGUGUUUUGGUCUCUGUUGCUGCUCAUCAUGUCAUCAUCUUAGAGCAUCUGGGCUUUGUGCUGCGAGGUGGUCGUGUUUGCAACACCCAUCUUCCAAGACAUGAAGUCAGACCAACAAACCCACUGAAUUUAAGCAUAUAAGUAAGUGGAGGAUAAUAAACUAAAUAGGAUUCCCUCAGUAAUGGCGAAUGAACAGGGAUGAGCUCAGUGUGAAAAUCGAGGCCUCUGGCCUUGAAUUGUAGUCUGAAGAUGUAUUACCAACAGUGGCGCAGGUGCAAGCCUUUUGGAAAAAAGCAUCAUUGUGGGUGAGAGUCCCAUUGGUCAUCUGUAGUCCCCUGUGUACGGUAUACUUCUCGAGAGUCACAUUCCUUGGGAUUGGAAUGCAAAUUGGGUGGUAAAUUUCAUCUAAAGCUAAAUAUUGGUUCAAGACCGAUAGCGAACAAGUACCAUGAGGGAAAGUUGAAAAGGACUUUGAAAAGAGAGUUAAAAGUACCUGAAAUUGCUGAAGGGGAAGCGAAUGGGGCCAGUGUAGUUUGGUGAGAUUUCUGUAUGCUUAUGUGAAGUCUUACUGUCGUAGCGUAAGCGCGUCAGUGGGAUGUGAGCAGCCAGCAUAUGGUGCAUCUUACCUUAUGUGUCAUCUUCCAUGUACAUUUGUGUAUACUUCCGAGAACAUGGUAGCGUGCCUUCGGGUGUGUGAAUGUUCUUGGCUGCCCUCAGCUGUACAUGGCUUGAUGACUAAAUGGUUCUUUUCGACCCGUCUUGAAACACGGACCAAGGAGUCUAACAUGUGUGCGAGUUCAUGGGUGGUUAAACCUGCUUGUGUAAUGAAAGUGACUGCUGGAAUAUUUGCACCAGCAACUGACCAAUCGCUUGAGAGGUUUGAGUUAGCACACCUGUUAGGACCCGAAAGAUGGUGAACUAUGCGUGA